CAAUUAUAUUAGCAGACAUGAAAUCGCUAACCUUGCGAUGAGUGCAAAAGCUUAGAUGGA
rfam:Neisseria animaloris strain DSM 21642 NODE_1_length_568283_cov_40.5228_ID_1, whole genome shotgun sequence.